CGGGCUUAGCGUGUUUGCUCAGACACGUCAAAAAUUAGAGGAAACGUUGGCUCUGGACAAAGACAAUCGCUGGUAGGAGGCUGAACUUCUGACGAGAGGGCAAAAUGAGCGGGCCAUGACAUUGCAUCGAGCUGAGGGUUCCUAUUCUCAUUAGGUUAAACCAUAAAAGGGACCAUCGGUACCUUUAGAACACAAUUUAGGCAGGCUGGUCGAUUUCCUGAAUGUUUGGGGGAAACAGGUGUCUUUGGCGGAAGAAGAGGGAGGAAGGAAAAAACAAGAACAAAGAGUUCUGAGGCAGGGGAGCCGAAACCCGGGUGUCCCUGAUCGCAAGCCGCGAACCGGACGCUCCCUUGUGGAUCCUCCAACGCCGCCCCAACCUUUCUCUGCCGUCGAGCAUCCGCACGCUCAGCAUUUCCGGGUCAGCGUGCUCUUAAUUAGCAAGCAAGUUGCAACACAACACGCUGCAACGGCCGCAACAACAUGCCAGCUGAGAUCGCCUCCUGCUUCCUCCACAACCAACGCCUUCCAGAAGAAAAUGGAUUUACGUCUAUUGUCAUUUCCGCCUACAAGCAAACAGCAUUAUGUCAUUGUUUCAGAGAUGACAAAAGUAUAUUGCUCGGAGAGCAUAUGAUUUAUUAUUGCUUUGAUAAGAUGUCGUAAAUCUACUGAGUUCAUACAGACCUGUGGAAAAGCCGCCAGCAACCGCUAG